UCUCUUUUCCACAAUGAGCAUUAUGCCUAAAUUUGCUGUGGUCACUUUGCUUGUUUUUGCUCUUUGUCAUCAAGUUUCCAUGGAUCUAUUGUAAUGAGAUACAAGUGUUGAAACAUAAGGAAGACCCAAGAAUGAUUACUUUCUCAGAAGUGAAACUGAGCUCUGUUAGAACUUGGGAGAGUGGGAGGGCACUCUCUAAAUAGGAAAAUUAUGGGCAGGAGGAAGAUUACAAAGUGGUUUUCAGUUUGAAGGCCUCUACUGUCUUAGAAAGCCCAACAUUCUGUGCUCACAUAAAUCUGGAAGAUGUCUAUGGGAUGGGAAGAGGACACCCCAUCUGAGUCCACUAGACUGAUACCUAAACAGUCAGCGAGACUGUCACUGUCAUCAGGAGAAGAGGACUUCCAGAGGGGCUGACACAAUAAAUCCUGCUGGUGGCUGUGGAUCAAGCUGAAACUGGGAGGCCAGGCUAUCACCAACCCUCUGAAAAAGUCCUACUGUUAAUGAUUAUAUAUGAAGACAUUUUCAUCAGCUGUCUGCCAGCAAUAUUAGGAACUAAAGCAAUUCAUUAACAGGCCACUUGUUCUCUUUUUCAAAUUAAACAAUCUGUUAGAUAUUAUUUUCUAUAGGAGAAUAAAUAUGAUGGAUUUUCUCAGAUUGUAAAUGAUUUCUGAGUCUGGAUGUCUGAAAUAUUUUUGCUUAAACUUGACAAGGAAAUUUUUUUUUUCAUAAGGCAAAGUCAUCCUUAAGGUCAAAAGUAAUGUGGUCCAGGUGCAUCAUAUUUUACCAUCGUAUCAACGGAAUAGGAGAGAACUAAGGGUGGAUAUUGGCUGAGAUGUAACUAUGUGACCCCAAGGCACUGCUCUUCCUUAGAAAUUGCUUGGUACACAGAAUUACUCACAGAUAUACCCCUUUUACUGGGCAAUGCAAGGACAUCAUUUCUCAACUACAACUCGCUGGCAAUGUCUAUUCACACCAUAAAUAAUCUUUAUACGUAUAUUUCUAUAGAAACCAGCUAUCUUGCCAGGUGAUAGCUGGUUUUUGCGUUUAAUGCAAAAAGGACUUUUUGUGCCUUUUCAACACUUUCAUAACUGAAACUCCAACAUACAGUCUAGAUUUGGCCAGAGGGAGAAUUUUGAGAAAAUGAAAGAAAAUGACAAAGGGCUCCAGGUACCUCCAGAAAGGGCAGUUUGCUAUAUUUUAACAAGUAUAAAAUAUUAUAUUGUAAAAAGCUCAGUUAUUUAAAAACGAACAUAUUUUAGGAAAGUGUACAUAUGCCUAGAAUUAUUCUACAUAGGCAAUAUGAUUGCUGAAGCAAUUUCUCAAGUAAAAUUAAUAAUUUAAAAAAUUAAAAAUUAAUAAAAGUUAAUCAGAUAACUGGUUCUCAAUAGUAGGAUUUUCUUUUUUUUAACUUUUAUUUUAGGUUCAGGGGUACAGGUGCAGGUUUGUUAUGUAGGUAAACUGUGUGUUAUGGGGGUUUGGUGUAGAGAUUAUUUGUGGCCAAAGUAAUAAUAGGUAGUUUUUCAUCCUCUCCCUCCAGCCACCCUUCACCCUCAAGUAGGCCCUUGUGUCUGCUGUUCCCCUCUUUGUGUCCAGGUGUUCUUGUUUUUUGGCUUUUCUCUCUCUUCUUUUUUUUUUUUUUUUUGUACAAAUAAAUCAGGAAGAGAAUUUCCUAAAUUAUUCCCCAAACAACUUCUCCUCUAAGGUUGGUCCUAUGACCCCCAAUACCUUAUAGUUUACUCGCCUUAAGACACAGGUUUGGUUGUUAGAUUCUAUAUGGUUUUCUUUUUGGUCCCAUUACUAGACACACACACUUGUUCCAAACACAGAUACCUGUUUCUCAUCCUAGAUUUCAGAUCUGGGUUGGUCCAGGAUUAAACUUAAGGAGGCAGACAUUUUGGAAUAACUACCACUACCAGGUGUGGUUCUUAUUUCCUGCUUGAAAUGCCAUUAGAAUAAAUAUUAUGGUUAUCAAUAUUUAACUAUGGCCUGCUUUUGUGAUAGUUCCACCUUUAAGCAGGGGAAUCUGUCAGUCUUCUAGGGUGCUGUACUGACAUGUUUGUAUAGCAAUAGUGUACAUUUUGAAACUAUUAACUGAAUACAAUCUUGAUUGUGAAAUGGUAAAAUCUCCCCUAUAAACAGAAAUCCAGAAAGGAAUAUGGAGAUAGGUUUUCUACAAGGAACAUGUUUUCCAAUGUGCAUAAGAGAAGGCUUAUUACAACCUAUUACAAAAAGAAGGCCAUUGAUUUUAAGUACGGUUAAAUUUCUCAUUAGCUGUGCUCUGCCUGCUUGAAACAAACCAUCUAAUUAAUAUGUCAACAUUUAUGUGGUUAAAUCUUUACAUACAGACAAAAUACAUCCAUUCAAGCAGGAGCAAAAGGUUAGUCUUUCUUACAACUAACCUUCAUCCUAAAUCAUGAGUUAACAUUCGCUAAAAGAUAGCACUGUCUCAUUUUUCUUUUGUCCUCUUUAACUAUAUCCUCGUUUUCCUCUCAAAAAAAAUUUUUUUUGCAAAAGUUUGGCAUUAUAUAUUUUUUAAAUGAAACAUUCUUAUCUGUCUUUGAUUUGUUCUUUCUUCUCUUCUUUUAACUUCACUCUUUUGCUUGGUUUGUAUUUUUUCUAUUUCUCUCUAGUGAAAGGGUGGUUCCAUUAGCCCCACAAUACCUUCGCUCCACAUCUAUUUCUUUAUUCUCUUCCUGCUUGCACUUACACCAUUGUGGUAAACAUGGUGGUUGGUAAUGCAACAAUCAUUCCCAUUCAUUUCCAUGUGGAAACAAAAAUUCAGUUCGGGGAACUGAGCUUUCUGUGAUAUGCCUUUGGGCAUUCCAUCCUCUUUGCCAGUGACCCUCUCAAGAACAGUGUGUAACACAAUAGUGGACAACGAGAUACAGGAGAUAGUUGCUGGUGACCUGUAAGAAAGUUCUUCCUAGCUCUUAAAAGAGAUCAGCUGAAGCUAAGCGCUCUACCUCCUACUUGACUUGAACAAUGCAGUAUGUAACAACCACUGGAAGUUGUCCUAAAUCACAGGGGAAGUAGCCUCAGGAUGAGGAUGAUGCUCUGGGUGGUAGAGCGGAAGAGAGAAAAAUUGUAGAACUUUGAGGACACUAUUGAGCCACUGGUCCCACCCUACCUUAUGCUCUGUUUCCUUAUUGCCUAAAUCUGCUUAAGUUGGCUUUUCUAUUUUUUAUGGCCAAAAGGACCCAAACUGACACAAUCUCUCCACAUUACUGGUUGGAACAGUAAAAGUGGUCACAUUGGUAAAGGCUGUCCCCAGUUGGGAGCUAAAGCUUUCCUUGUUUAAGGUUUCCCUUUGAAUUUAAGUCAUGAAAACACAGAACAAAUACAUUAUUAUUGGUCUGUGUUCCUAAACAGCUUAAAUAUCUAAAAAUAUUUAUAUGAUCAUGACAG